ensembl:misc_RNA Metazoa_SRP Metazoan signal recognition particle RNA
GCUGGGCACAGUGGUGCGUGCCUAUAGUCCCAGCUAUUCGGGAGGCUGAGGCUGUAUGAUCUCUUGAGUUCAGGAGUUCUGGGAUGCCGUGAGCUAUGCUGAUCUGGUGUCCGCACUAAGUUCAGCAUCAAUAUGGUGACCUCCCGGGAACAGGGGACCACCAGAUUGCCUAAGGAGGGCUGAACCAGCCCAGGUUGGAAACGGAGCAGGUCAAAACUCCCGUGCUGAUCAGUAGUGGGAUCGCUCCCGUGAAUAGCCACUGCACUCCAGCCUGUGCAACACAGCGAGACCCCAUCUCUU